UCCAGGGUAGCCUAGUGGACAUGGCAUCAGCCCAGUAAGCGGAACACUGUGGGUUCGAUUCCCAUCUCUGGAC